rnacentral:rRNA from 1 species
AGUGAGGAAUAUUGGUCAAUGGAGGCAACUCUGAACCAGCCAUGCCGCGUGAAGGAAGACAGCCCUACGGGUCGUAAACUUCUUUUAUACAGGAAUAAUGGUUACUACGUGUAGUGAUUUGAAGGUACUGUAUGAAUAAGCAUCGGCUAACUCCGUGCCAGCAGCCGCGGUAAUACGGAGGAUGCAGGCGUUAUCCGGAUUUAUUAGGUUUAAAGGGUGCGCAGGCGGUUUUUUAAGUCAGUGGUGAAAGUUUGCAGCUCAACUGUAAAAUUGCCAUUGAUACUGGAAAACUUGAAUGCGGUAGAGGUAGGCGGAAUGUGUAGUGUAGCGGUGAAAUGCUUAGAUAUUACACAGAACACCGAUUGCGAAGGCAGCUUACUAUGCCGUGAUUGACGCUGAGGCACGAAAGCGUGGGGAGCGAA